CCUGAUGCAGCGACGCCGCGUGAGGGAUGACGGCCUUCGGGUUGUAAACCUCUUUCAGCAGGGAAGAAGCGAGAGUGACGGUACCUGCAGAAGAAGCGCCGGCUAACUACGUGCCAGCAGCCGCGGUAAUACGUAGGGCGCAAGCGUUGUCCGGAAUUAUUGGGCGUAAAGAGCUCGUAGGCGGCUUGUCGCGUCGGAUGUGAAAGCCCGGGGCUUAACCCCGGGUCUGCAUUCGAUACGGGCAGGCUAGAGUUCGGUAGGGGAGAUCGGAAUUCCUGGUGUAGCGGUGAAAUGCGCAGAUAUCAGGAGGAACACCGGUGGCGAAGGCGGAUCUCUGGGCCGAUACUGACGCUGAGGAGCGAAAGCGUGGGGAGCGAACAGGAUUAGAUACCCUGGUAGUCCACGCCGUAAACGUUGGGAACUAGGUGUGGGCGACAUUCCACGUCGUCCGUGCCGCAGCUAACGCAUUAAGUUCCCCGCCUGGGGAGUACGGCCGCAAGGCUAAAACUCAAAGGAAUUGACGGGGGCCCGCACAAGCAGCGGAGCAUGUGGCUUAAUUCGACGCAACGCGAAGAACCUUACCAAGGCUUGACAUACACCGGAAACGUCUGGAGACAGGCGCCCCCUUGUGGUC
rnacentral:rRNA from 1 species